UACGGGAGGCAGCAGUGGGGAAUAUUGGACAAUGGGCGGAAGCCUGAUCCAGCCAUGCCGCGUGUGUGAAGAAGGCCUUUUGGUUGUAAAGCACUUUAAGCGAGGAGGAGGCUACUAGUACUAAUACUACUGGAUAGUGGACGUUACUCGCAGAAUAAGCACCGGCUAACUCUGUGCCAGCAGCCGCGGUAAUACAGAGGGUGCGAGCGUUAAUCGGAUUUUACUGGGCGUAAAGCGUGCGUAGGCGGCUGAUUAAGUCGGAUGUGAAAUCCCCUGAGCUUAACUUAGGAAUUGCAUUCGAUACUGGUCAGCUAGAGUAUGGGAGAGGAUGGUAGAAUUCCAGGUGUAGCGGUGAAAUGCGUAGAGAUCUGGAGGAAUACCGAUGGCGAAGGCAGCCAUCUGGCCUAAUACUGACGCUGGGGUACAAAGCAUGGGGAGCAAACAGGAUUAAGAAU
rnacentral:rRNA from 1 species